UACGUAGGGUGCAAGCGUUGUCCGGAAUUAUUGGGCGUAAAGAGCUCGUAGGCGGUCUGUCACGUCGGCUGUGAAAACCCGAGGCUCAACCUCGGGCCUGCAGUCGAUACGGGCAGACUAGAGUUCGGUAGGGGAGAAUGGAAUUCCCGGUGUAGCGGUGAAAUGCGCAGAUAUCGGGAGGAACACCGGUGGCGAAGGCGGUUCUCUGGGCCUUACCUGACGCUGAGGAGCGAAAGCGUGGGGAGCGAACAGG
rnacentral:rRNA from 1 species